AAUGAACGCUGGCGGCAUGCCUAACACAUGCAAGUCGAACGAAGGCUUCGGCCUUAGUGGCGCACGGGUGCGUAACGCGUGGGAAUCUGCCCCUUGGUUCGGAAUAGCAGUUAGAAAUGACUGCUAAUACCGGAUGAUGACGUAAGUCCAAAGAUUUAUCGCCGAGGGAUGAGCCCGCGUAGGAUUAGCUAGUUGGUGUGGUAAGAGCGCACCAAGGCGACGAUCCUUAGCUGGUCUGAGAGGAUGAUCCACCACACUGGGACUGAGACACGGCCCAGACUCCUACGGGAGGCAGCAGUGGGGAAUAUUGGACACUGGGCGAAAGCCUGAUCCAGCAAUGCCGCGUGUGUGAUGAAGGCCUUAGUGUUGUACAGCUCUUUUACCCGGGAUGAUAAUGACAGUACCGGGAGAAUAAGCUCCGGCUAACUCCGUG
rnacentral:rRNA from 1 species